rnacentral:rRNA from 1 species
AUUGAACGCUGGCGGCAGGCCUAACACAUGCAAGUCGAGCGGAUGAAGGGAGCUUGCUCCUGGAUUCAGCGGCGGACGGGUGAGUAAUGCCUAGGAAUCUGCCUGGUAGUGGGGGAUAACGUCCGGAAACGGGCGCUAAUACCGCGUACGUCCUGAGGGAGAAAAUGGGGGAUCUUCGGACCUCACGCUAUCAGAUGAGCCUAGGUCGGAUUAGCUAGUUGGUGGGGUAAAGGCCUACCAAGGCGACGAUCCGUAACUGGUCUGAGAGGAUGAUCAGUCACACUGGAACUGAGACACGGUCCAGACUCCUACGGGAGGCAGCAGUGGGGAAUAUUGGACAAUGGGCGAAAGCCUGAUCCAGCCAUGCCGCGUGUGUGAAGAAGGUCUUCGGAUUGUAAAGCACUUUAAGUUGGGAGGAAGGGCAGUAAGUUAAUACCUUGCUGUUUUGACGUUACCAACAGAAUAAGCACCGGCUAACUUCGUG